CUUAUCUCUUCUAGGCCCAGACCUGGCCCAUAAAGAGUUGGUCCCUUGAGGCCCACAUAACCUAGACCUCAAGAACCCGAAAGGCCCACAGCCUUUCAACCUAGGGCUCAACUAGCCCUAGAGCCUCCAUGAAGCCCUCAUGAAUGAUGGACCUUUGCCUUAGCCUUGGUCCCCUGGGCCUUGAGCACACCACCUGGAUCAUAACAAUCAACAAUGAGCCCA
rnacentral:lncRNA from 1 species